AGAUUUUCUAAGAGUUUUGUUGGUUCUUUUUUCUUGUUGGAGAGUUCGUUGUUAUUAUACAAAACAAGAGUUGACAGAAAACAAAGAUAGAGAGAUAACUCUUAUACCUUCGCCACAACCGAGCUUGACGCUCUUGAAAGGAGUCUUAUUACGCAAGAAAUCGAUGAGUGUGGUUGAAGGAUCAAUGGAAGAGAGGUCGAUCUCAAAUCUUUCUCCAUUAACGGCGAAAACAAGAGAGCACGCGAUAGGUCAGCGAAGCGUGAGCGGGCGCGGAAAAGGAAAGGCCAAACACUUCGGCCCUGAAUCUGAACUAUACAUCAUAGUAAGUUAGUAACAACUUAAGUAUGUAAAUUGUUAAGACUUGCAUGGUGAACAAGAGAAAAAAAAUGUAUGUGUGGAUUAGCUAUAAACAUGAAUAGCUAAGAUUCUAAGAAUAGUUGUUCAUUUUUUUCCAUGAA